rnacentral:rRNA from 1 species
GUGGGUAGUUUGACUGGGGAGGUCUCCUCCCAAAGCGUAACUGAGGAGCACGAAGGUUAGCUAAUCCUGGUCGGACAUCAGGAGGUUAGUGCAAUGGCAUAAGCUAGAUUGACUGCGAGCGUGACGGCGCGAGCAGGUGCGAAAGCAGGUCAUAGUGAUCCGGUGGUUCUGAAUGGAAGUGCCAUAGCUCAACGGAUAAAAUGUACUCCGGGGAUAACAGGCUGAUACCGCCCAAGAGUUCAGAU